GAGUUUGAUCCUGGCUCAGGAUGAACGCUGGCGGCAUGCCUAACACAUGCAAGUUGAACGAGAAGUUCUGGAGGGAGUCUUCGGACGAACGAAGGGAUGGAAAGUAGCGAACGGGUGAGUAACGCGUGGGCAACCAACCUUACACAGGGGGAUAACACAGAGAAAUCUGUGCUAAUACCGCAUAAGCGCACAGUAUCACAUGAUACGGUGUGAAAAACUCUGGUGGUGUAAGACGGGCCCGCGUCUGAUUAGCUAGUUGGUGGGGUAAAAGCCUACCAAGGCGACGAUCAGUAGCCGACCUGAGAGGGUGAUCGGCCACAUUGGGACUGAGACACGGCCCAAACUCCUACGGGAGGCAGCAGUGGGGGAUAUUGCACAAUGGAGGAAACUCUGAUGCAGCAAUGCCGCGUGAAGGAAGACGGUUUUCGGAUUGUAAACUUCUAUCAGCAGGGAAGAAAAUGACG
rnacentral:rRNA from 1 species